rnacentral:tRNA from 1 species
CGCAAUUAUCAGGGGCGCGCUCUACCACUGAGCUAAUAGCCCUGGGCCAUCCUGGACUUGAACCAGAGACCUCGCCC